AUACGUAGGGUGCAAGCGUUAAUCGGAAUUACUGGGCGUAAAGCGUGCGCAGGCGGUUUUGUAAGCCAGAUGGGACAUCCCCGGGCUUAACCUGGGAAAUGCGUUUGUGACUGUAGGACUCGAGUGUGGCAGAGGGGGGUGGAAUUCCACGUGUAGCAGUGAAAUGCGUAGAGAUGUGGAGGAACACCGAUGGCGAAGGCAGCCCCCUGGGUCAACACUGACGCGCAUGCACGAAAGCGUGGGGAGCAAACAGGAUUAGAUACCCUGGUAUUCCACGCCCUAAAGGAUGUCAACUGGUUGUUUGGUGUUCAGUGAAUCAGUAACGAAGCUAACGCGUGAAGUUAACCGCCUGGGGAGUACGGCCGCAAGGUUGAAACUCAAAUGAAUUUACGGG
rnacentral:rRNA from 1 species